rnacentral:piRNA from 1 species
GCCACGCUGGCGACAGAACCUGG